CAAUAGCGUAUAUUUAAGUUGUUGCAGUUAAAAAGCUCGUAGUUGGAUUUCGGGUGGGACGCAGCGGUCUCGCAUUGCGUUUGUACUGCUGCAGCCCUCCUUCUUGCCGGGGGCGGCCUCUCGGACUUCACUGUCUGGGGGUCAGAAUCGGCGAUGUUACUUUGAGUAAAUUAGAGUGUUCAAAGCAAGCUUACGCUCUGAAUAUAAUAGCAUGGGAUAACACGACAGGACUCUGGCCUAUCGUGUUGGUCUAUAGGACCAGAGUAAUGAUUAAGAGGGACAGUCGGGGGCAUUCGUAUUCCGUUGUCAGAGGUGAAAUUCUUAGAUUUAUGGAAGACGAACAUCUGCGAAAGCAUUUGCCAAGGAUGUUUUCAUUGA
rnacentral:rRNA from 1 species